rnacentral:rRNA from 1 species
AUGCCGCCGUCACGGCCGCCACGCCGCCGCUGCGGCCGCCGCCGGCGCUCGACCACCGCCGCUGGGACGGAUCCCUCCGCAGGCGGGAGCAGAGGGUGGCUCGCCGCCCGCCGCAGGCCGUUCAAGCGGCACGGGCCCGAGCACGGCGACCAGGCGCUGCCCCUGGGCGAUGAAACCCUGCUCCUCGUCUUCUCCGCCCUCUCCGACGCCGGGGACCUCGUCCGCUGCGCCGCCGCCUGCAGGCGCUGGCGCCGCCUCGUCUCCUCCGACGCCGCCUUCAUCUGCCGCCGCGGGCCCCCGCGCUGCGACCGCUUCGCCCGCCGCCUCGCGGUCGGCGUUUUCCUGCACAGCGACCGCGGCCGCGGCCGCGGCCGCCCCCGCCGCGAGGGAUUCGUGCCCUUCACCAAGCCCGACCUCUCGAUCGCCGACGGCGGAGUGCCGGGCUCGUCGUCGCGCGUCGUCGCGUCCCGCAACGGCCGCGUCGUGAUGGACCUCCGCCGCGCCAAGAGCGCCUGCGUGCUGAGGCUGUGCGUGUGCGACCCCAUGACCGGCGACGCCCACCUGCUCCCGCCCCUGAGCGGCAAGGACCGCCCGGGGCCGUACGCGUGCGCCCUGCUCACCGCCGACGACGGGCUCCACCUGUACGACGCAUGCUCGGCCGGCACGGCCACGUCGACGUCCCCGUCCUCGUACCGCGUGCUCCUCCUCUACAACCACCGCAGCUACACGGCGCUCCGGCGCUACUCCUCGGACGACGGAAGCUGGGGGCCGGAGGUGGAGGUGACCGGCGCCCGGAUCGCGAGGGGGCGGCAGCUGGGCGUCAGGGCGCACGCGACGCUGGUGCGGGGCGGCGCGGUCUGCUGGUACGGGCUCGGCAUCGCCGUCAACCCCGCCACGCUGCACACGUCCAGCUUUGGCUACACCGUGCAGGCCUUCGAGUCGCCGCCGCGACGCGCCAAGGCCUCCCUCGGCGAGGUGGACCGGCUGCUGGGGCUGAUGCCGGACGGGAGGCUGUGCGUGCUGGAAUGCAAGGCCGACGCGGUGCGCGCCUACGUGGUCGUCUACGCCGACGUGGUGAGGAACGGCGGCGUGUCGGGGAGGAAGGAGUGGCGGUGGACGCUGAACGCGGAGCUGAUGGGCCUGCAGGUGGUGAGGCUGCGGUGGUUCUGCGAGAAGAGCGGCGUGGCGCUCUUCACGGCGAGGAACAGGGGCGGCAAGACGCAGGUGUACGCCGUGGACGUGGAGACGAUGCAGGUGGGCAGGGUGGACUGGUCGGGGGACGACGACCGCGACGGCGACGGGGACAUGGAGGUGUGUGGGUACGAGAUGGACCGGGUGGCCAUGCUCGCCGAGCUCGACCGCUCCGCUGAGCUCCAUCCUGCUCCUCGGCAGCUCUGA